GACGAACCGUGCGAACGUUAUUCGGAAUCACUGGGCUUAAAGGGCGCGUAGGCGGGCCGCAUAGUCAGGGGUGAAAUCCUCCAGCUUAACUGGAGAAGUGCCUCUGAUACUGGCGGCCUCGAGGGGUGCAGGGGCGUGCGGAACUUAGGGUGGAGCGGUGAAAUGCGUAGAUAUCCUAAGGAACACCGGUGGCGAAGGCGGCACGCUGGACACCUUCUGACGCUGAGGCGCGAAAGCGUGGGGAGCAAACAGG
rnacentral:rRNA from 1 species